rnacentral:lncRNA from 1 species
GAUAGAGCAGAGCGGAUAAACAAAGAAGGCGUAACAUAGGGUUUGAUUUCAGGAAGCUUAAGGAGUGAUUGGCGAUAUGAAUCAAGAGCGGUGUCUUGGUAAUAUUCCUUGAGAUAGUCCGGGUGAAGCACAAGGUCUUUGCGGUGAGGGAGGUCGAGGAUGAGAACGAGCGACGUGGGACUGCUCUGUAUGAGUUCGAGCACAAAGUUUGGAGCUUUUGUUGAAGAGUUUAAGUAUGCAGAGAUGCUUGUUAUGUUGAGAGAUACACCUGGUUGUAUCUUACAGUGUAUCCAACUUCCUAUAACAAAAUCAAUCUGAAAAAAAACACAAAUGCAAAUUUUAAGGAAAUCAUCACUAUAUUCAAUUCAAGGAUUGCUUUUGAGUGACCAAAAAACCAAACAAAUGAACCUAAAAGUAACAUUCUAAAACGGAGAAAUCAUCGCAGGUUUCAGAUGACAGAAUGCGUACCAGAGAGGAUUUCUGGCCGGAUCUGAUAUGAAGAGAUGCUUCGGCAGAACCGUUAGGGUUCUUGAAGUUCCGUACAUCCGGCGGGAGGCUACAGGGGAGGAGUUGAGACUGGAGGCGAUCCUCCAUCGUCGACAUUAGCUCAACCAUUAGCUGCCUGCCUGUGGCCGACAAGUAGGGAAACUCCAUAAAUUUUCGCCGGAGAAGAUCGUCGUGAUCCUCCAUAAACUGGAAUUGAGCUCGAACUCUGAGUUUCUUCGAGAAUGGCGAGGGUUUUGUUCGUGUCGAAAGAGUUAACGGCGGGAGAGAAGGAGAAGAAGAGAAGAGUGUGUUGCAAGAUAUUAUCCCCAUCGUAAACGAUCUUUAGAGCACUGAGUCACCAGCUCCUUUGUAUGAGGCUAAAAACAGGGCAGUGCAGUCUAUAAGAAAAAUAUCUGUAGGCAAAACAGACCAAAUUAAAGAAGAAGAUUUUUUUUUGUCUUUAUAGAACAAGUUAAAUACAUGUGUUCGAUGUCCCAGAUAAAUAAUUUUAUUUCAUAUAUCAAAUUCCACGUGAAAAAUGCAGAGGCUUGUUUCUCAGUUACCAAAGCUUCUGUCUUGUCCAAAAUGCGUAUCUACCGAAUCCACUAAAACUGUGACUGUCAGAAAUAGAGCAGAAUUUGUUUUACUCUCAAUUCACUUCUUAUCUCUCCAUUCAAGUGAAACCUAGGGUAAUCUUUUACCCUAGAUAAUGUUUUUUUUUUCUCUUACUUUUUUACUCUGCUAAAUUUACCAUUUACAGCCCAGUAAGUAAAAAAAAACAAAAAACAAGAUUUCACCAGAUACAAACAAACAUAAUCAUACUACCCUCACCAGGUAUUUUCCUCUCGCUCUCUGUUUUCUAAAAAUAAUACAUAUCUUUAAUCUAAAAUUUCUUGUUACAUCUUGAUCAAUCUAACUGAACUAACUUUCUUUGUACCGUGUUGUUGAAGAAAUUUGUUAGCCCUAGCUUGGACGUCAAGUUAUCAGACAUAUGCCUUGGCACAUCGGCUGCUCUUACUUACUUUCCUCCUCAUUACUUUUCCAAUGAAGAUAUUCAAGGAAAGACGACUGCAUUUCACCUCAUUGAUGGCGGGGUUACAGGUAAUAACCCAAUAACACGCAAUCCUCCUACCUAUAUUCUCCAAAUUUAGAGAACUUUGUAAGUAUCGAUGUGACAUCCUAAACUUUAGCUUUGGCCCAAUUUUUUUAAAAAAAUCUAAACUCUAGAAACCCAAUUAUUUCUUGUGUUCUCAUUAAACCCAAAUUUAUAUUUUUACCCAAUUAAUUAGUUUUUUUUUUAAAACCAAAACCCCUGUCAAACCAAAAAGAAAAGAAAAGCUGCUGUAAGAGAACAACGAGAGUAAGAGAAAAGAAGAAAAGAGAGAGAAGAGAAGAGAAAAAGAGAAGAGAGGAAGGGAGAGAGGAGCUCACCGUUCACCACCACCACACCGUCUUCGUCUUCAUUGAUCACCACCUCCACCACCACAAACUUCACGUCUCCAGAAGAGGAUCCACUGCCACCAGAGUUCUGAUCGACCACCGUCGCGGUUGUUGGUUGCACCGAGAGGAGGAGAGGUUCGGAGAAGAAGAAAGUUGAAGGGGAAGGCAUAGAUCCGAGGUGAGAUUUUGUGAAGAAGAUUCAUGUUACUUCAGAGAAAGUUAAACCGUGAUCAAGGUGUCUCUAGAAAGACCUCGAUGCAACGAACCCAUAGGAGAAAACAGCAUUGUCAUCGGAGUUAAGGUCAGGCUACAACGAAGCUUUCUUCCUGCGCAAAAAUCAUCUGCAUCAUCCUGCAACCCAAAAAUCUGUUCCGACGCAGCAACUUCAAAGGACUGUGGAUGACUCGUUUUAAGUCCGAUCGAGCUGAUUUUUUAUGGAGGACUUCACAGUACAUCUGUCUCUAGUUUCAACGGUGGGAUCAAGAUUCCAACAGUUGGUUAUCGAGUUAUGAGCGUGUUUCCGAGGCAGCUUUGAAGUAUUCUUAUGAAGGGGUGUUCACCAACUGCAAUUACAGGAGAAAUGAUAUUCCAGGUUCUUUUAUAUUAAGGUGAGGAAAAUGAUAAGCAUCAUCAGAUAUAUUACAGGAGAGAGAAGGGCCACGUUGGGGGAAGCGCUCUCAAGUCGUGGGAGAAGCAACUUAAAGAGGAAAAGAGCAAAGACUUGGAGCGAAGCAGAGGCUUUCUUUUCUGUACUAAGUAUAAAUACGAGAAUAGAGGAUAAAGUUUGUUAUGCAUUUUCUGAGUUUGUAAGCGUCAUGAGCUUAGCUCGAUGAUCGUUAUGAGAUCCUGUAGAUGCAUUUCCGAUAUCUUGUAUUGAACACAUAUACUCUUUUCUCAUUCAAUACAUUUACUAUUCACCUAUUACAUUCUUGAUCUUAUCAGAAAAGUUUGUGGAUUUCUAAGAUAUAUUAGUUGAUUUAGUAAUAUGUGUAUGCUUAGUGUAGGUAUUAAACGUGAUUGAUGAUUGGUAUUUGAUAAUGCUGAUUGAUAAUAGUUAAUGAUUGGUUAUUGAUGAUAAUUAAUAAUGAGAAGUACUGGAAUAUGAUAAUAGGAUUGUAACUUAUUUAGUCAUUAGUUGAAAUAGUAAUUAUCUGGUUACAAUAUUAUGUGACGGCAUACAACGAAGAACUCAUAUUGUUAAGUUGUAGUGAUCGAUAAAUUGUUUGACGGUCUACAGUGAGUGACUGAAUAUUGUAAAGCUCUAGUGAUUGAGAAAGAGCUGACGAGCCAUAGUCAAGCCCUGUUGAGGGUGGUGACACUGGUAACUUGUAAAACCCAGAGUGAAUGGUGGCAGAGAAUGAGUACCAUUGAUGGAAGUUCUUUGGGAAUGUGUUACAGAAUCUCUAGGUUGAUUGUUUUGAAUGAUUGAAUGAUUGUAUUUAUUUAAAAAUAUUAAUAUCAUAUAUAUUAAUAAUAAUGUUAGUUAUUCUAGGUUGAUUGUUGCUUGAGUUUGAUGCAUAUAUUAUGUAUAUACAUUAUUGCUAUUUCAAAUAAUAUGUCAAAGAAUCUUGUGUGUUCAAAGAGCACACCCUCACUUAGUAUUUUUUUCCAAAUACUCAUCCCUCUCUUCUUUUUCAGGUGAGAACGAAGAGUAGUACUUGUGGCAUUUGAUGCAGUGUUGCUUCCGGGAACCAUGAGCGUAUUUUAUUUAAUUAUUUUUAAUAAAGAUUUUUAGUUAUAUUUUCUUUAGUUUUUCUUCAAAUAUUUAACAAUCGGUUUAUUGUUAAAAUGUUUCAAUUUUUCGGUUUAUUUAUUUUUAGUAAAAGAUUUUAGACAUUAAAUAAAUAUUUAAUGAGUUCAUUAUUCUUUGUAAAAGCAGUGAGUGUAAAUCAAGUUAGAUUUAAUUUGCAAGAUUAUGGUGUCUCAAUCGAGAAGUGAGCACAGUAAUAUGGCUUCAGAGUCAUCAUGAUCUUUGAAAGUGGCUCUUGUGAAUGUCAAAGUCCUUGCUGAGAAUGAUUUUUGGGAUAGUCUUCUGUUCGUAUAUAAAGACGUCAUCAAGGAAGAGUUGAAGAUGGCUGGGCUCAUGUGGCUAAUCGAUUUAAGGAAAUUGGUUACUCUGAAGUCCAAUAUACGAAGAAGCAUGAAGAUUCGGAGCUGGGAAAAUCUCUUCUAAGCUUAAGGAUAUGGUCUCUAGAAUAUAUAACUUAAAAAGGAAGUUUACAGAAGUGGAAUAAGAAAGCUUCAGAGGCUAAAAUUUUUUGUGGAUGUGAGAAUAGGAAACUUUUUGAUGAAGCUUUUUUAUGUUAAUUAAACUACAUGAGAAAUGUUGAUGGAUUUCUGAAGAGAUUUUUCAUAUCUUUUUUUUGGAUGAAUGUUAAAUUAUAUUCAAAACUAGAAAAAAAUAUUGUUUCUACAUAUGAAAUGCGAGCGUGAAAUUUAAAAACCUAACAUUGAGCUAGAUUGAGCACAGCUUAAUUGACUAAUCAGUUUACUGGUCUUGAAGAAAACUAGAGUUGCAGACCUUCUUCGUAUCGAUGAUCUCCCAAAAUCCUUAUCGAACUAAAUUGAUUUCAGAUGGAUUUGUCCACAGUCUUGAUUAGCCUUGAGACCGGCUAUGGUUGGGCUCAAUGUCUUCUAUCAUUUCUUUUUCUCCACAGCUUAUAGACGACCGUCUGGAAGAGAUACCAGAUGAGAAAAGCUUUCAAUUUUUUUCUGGUUGGCUCGCGAGAUUAGGUUGGUUACAUCCGUCCAAUCUGUUGAAAAAUCUCGAUCAAGGAUCCCUUGAGCUAAGUGAGUCUCAAGGAUCCUUUGAGACUUUUCAUAUUAAUGAGCAGUCCCAUAUCUUGAUUGAAUGCUUAAACUAAAAAAAAAAAUUUUAAUUUCUAAUAAAUCCAAUAAAUGGAAAUGACACCUUAAGUUCAGAUUUAUUUCGGCACAUCAAAUUUAGUCCAGGUUAAUUUUGGCAUUUCCCCCGGAUGAUUACAUAAUCUAUAAAUGAUAUGAUCUAUAAAACACCGAAAGCUUCUUUGAUGGCGUGCAAAACACGGCACGAAACUUCUUCUCCAAACAUUCUAGGAAACUGUGAAUCCAAAUCUUCUUCUAUGCUCUUCUUUCUAGAGUUUUCGUCCCUCCUCUCCAACUCCAAUUUCUCUUCUUCUCCCAUCACUCUCUUCUCUUCUUGUUCUUCUUUCCUUGCGCAUCGGUCCAACCAAACCCCGAGAACUUCCUUAGCAGCUGGACUCACAUGAUCACUUAAGAUCUCCUCCAACUUUUCCUCUUCCUCCACAUCGAUUUUAAGCAUCGAAGAUGUAGGAGAUAGAGCAGAGCGGACAAACAGAGAAGGCGUAACAUAGGGUUUGAUUUCAGGAAGCUUAAGGAGUGAUUGGCGAUAUGAAUCAAGAGCGGUGUCUUGGUAAUAUUCCUUGAGAUAGUCCGGGUGAAGCACAAGGUCUUUGCGGUGAGGGAGGUCGAGGAAGAGAACGAGCGACGUGGGACUGCUCUGUACAAUUUCGACCACAAAGUUUGGAGCUUUUGUUGAAGAGUUUAAGUAUGCAUAGAUGCUUGUUAUGUUGAGAGAUACACCUGUUGGUAUCUUGC